UACGAAGGGUCCAAGCGUUAUCCGGAUUUAUUGGGUUUAAAGGGUGCGUAGGCGGCUUGUUAAGUCAGUGGUGAAAGCCCGUAGCUCAACUACGGAACUGCCAUUGAUACUGAUGAGCUUGAAUAUACUUGAGGUUGGCGGAAUGUGUCAUGUAGCGGUGAAAUGCUUAGAUAUGACACAGAACACCGAUUGCGAAGGCAGCUAGCUAAAGUAUGAUUGACGCUGAUGCACGAAAGCGUGGGGAGCAAACAGG
rnacentral:rRNA from 1 species